rnacentral:lncRNA from 8 species
AAUCUGCAUCACUUCCCAGGCCGUCGGACCCAGGAAGCGGAGAUCGUUCCGGGCAUAGGAUCAGGCUGGCGCUGCUGGAUAAUGAGGUAGCAACUGUGGCGAUGGCCGGGAAAGACCAGUUGGGUACACAUCAUGACGGGAGGGAGAUGAUUACAAGGAAGCACCAGCUGUGUCACUUUUAAUACCCGCAUCCACUCGCAUGUCAACUUUCCCCGUUACAAAUCUGUCACCCAUAGAGUGGUCGUGUAGCCUUGGUUGCUUCAGCUGCUCUUGAAAUGCACAGAUUGGUCAGACAGUUGGAGUGGUCUCUGAGCUGAUCUCUUUCUCUGGGCUCUCUUUCUCCCUCUCUCUCUCUCUAUGUCUCUGGCUUUCACUUUCUCUCUCUGCCUCGUUCUCUCUCCGUCUCUUCUCCUCGCUCUCUGUUUCUCCCACUCUCUGUCUCUCAGCCUCUCUCCCUCGCUCUCUUUCUCCCCCUUUCCGUCUCUCCCUCCUCUCUUUCUCUCACUCUCUGUCUCUCUAUCCCUCUCUUUCUCUCACUCUCUGUCUCUCUAUCCCUCUCCCUGUUUUUCUCUCCCUCCGUCUGUCCCUCUCCACAACAAUCUCUAACCAGACGGUCAUUUGUUGUUGUGGCUUCACAGCUGACCGGUCUGUUUGGAUGCAGUCUGAUAUCCCAAUUCCCUCUUCUACAUACAGCAUUGUUACUGCGUCAUCUAUUCAAGUAGACUAUGUGCUCUGCCUUAUAUAAGUGUUGUUUUUGUAAUUAUAUCCAGGGUGAAGUGCUGAGCUCUAGUGAUUCUACUGGAGCUCUGUGUGUCUCCCAGACCUGGCCUGGUAUGGCCUGCAUCAUCCACAACCACCACCAGAGAUUCAGCUUACCCAGACAGAAGCCAGGCAUGGACCAAGACCAGCAGCAGGAGACAAACACCAAGGACAUAGUGACGGUGGUGGGGCUGUGCUGUCCGUUGGGAAUCACAUGGAACUUUGCCUUCCAUUUUUGUAUAAAAAUAGUUUUAAAGCGAUUAAAUCACUUAAUUUGCUUUCUUAAUCUGUAAAAAUCUUUACUACAUUUAAAUGAAAUGUAUGUACAGUUGAAUUUAAUGUUAACAUUGUUUAAAGAUUAAUAGCUUUGGGGAAAAAAAAUACAAUUGCAGAUCUCUCAUUGAUAUAAUUUUAUUAUUGUGUGUGUAAUACAGUUGAAGUCGGAAGUUUACAUACACUUAGGAUGGAGUCAUUAAAACUCAUUAUUCAACCACUCCACAUAUUUCUUCUUAACAAACUAUAGUUUUGGCAAGUCGGUUAGGACAUCUUUGUGCAUGACACAAGUAAUUUUUCCAACAAUUGUUUACAGACAGAUUAUUUCACUUAAUCACAAUUCCAGUGGGUCAGAAGUUUACAUAAAGUUGAAUGUGCCUUUAAACAGCUUGGAAAAUUCCAGAAAAUGUCAUGGCUAUACAAGCUUCUGAUAGCAACGAGGCCUACAAACCUGACUCAGUUACACCAGCUCUGUCAGGAGGAAUGGGCCAAAAUUCACCCAACUUAUUGUGGGAAGCUUUUGGAAGGCUAACCGAAACAUUUGACCCAAGUUAAACAAUUUAAAGGCAAUGCUACCAAAUACUAAUUGAGUGUAUGUAAACUUCUGACCCACUGGGAAUGUGAUGAAAGAAAUAAUAAAAGCUGAAAUAAGUCAGUCAUUCUCUCUACUAUUAUUCUGACAUUUCACAUUCUUAAAAGAAAGUGGUGAUCCUAACUGACCGAAGACAGGGAAUUUUUACUAGGAUUAAAUGUCAGGAAUUGUGAAAAACUGAGUUUAAAAGGUACUUGGCUAAGGUGUAUGUAAACUUCCGACUUCAACUGCACGCACACAGCAAUUCCAACAAAGAAAACUGUAAAAAAAAAAAAAAAAUUAAUAUACUACAUUUUAAUUACAGAACAGUUGGCCCCCCCCCAAAAAAUACAAAAAAAAAAGAAAAAGGCACAAAAUUCUUUAAUGGCCAAUACAGUAAUUCAGAAGACUAUUGGAGAACUGAUAAAACAGCAUUCAGUCUUGGACUUGUCAUUUCAGAGAGCUAUAUUGACUAUAUUUACUGGGGACAGGAGACAUGGCGGGAACUGUAGAUAUAUGUCUGAACCUGGACCCUGACAGAGCACAAACACCCCCCCUUCAGGGGUGGACUGGGACCAGAAAUCAGCCUUGGCAUUUAACACACUGGCCCAUUAAUUCCUUGAAGCUCCCACACAGGUAAUAUUUUUUUUGCUUUAGGACCCAUUAUGAUUAUUCUACGAUAUACCCCAAUUUAGCCAGGCCACCUGGGCUAAAGAUGGACUAGCCCAUCUGGCAUUGGCCUGAAUCGCCCUAUUGCCAGUCCACCUCUGACCCCCUUGCACUUUGCUAAACACAUGGAAGACAAGGAGAGAAAGAGGUUACUUUCAGAUGUUAGGACUUACUAUUUUAUAAGUUUGUUUGUGGGAUUGGACAACCAUUAGAAAAACAAUUGACAUUUUGUACAGGAUAUCCAUUUGGCCUUGAAGACUCCCCAAGUUAAUGCCUUUAAGUUCGCGCUUAUGGCGUGUAAUAGACCUGAAAUCGAAUCCCAUUAACUUGAAUAAUGCCGGAACAUUCUAGCAUACAGGACCUGUACCACAGCACCCCCUUCAGAUUGGGAGGUUCUACUACAGGAGAGUAGACUUAAUAAAAAGCAGUUCACCUGCAAUAGAGGACUGCUUUGCUAUUACACAAUACAGUAUCUUGUCAUCUCACACAUGGAGACUGUUCUUCAUAAGGGCAUACACAAACACAGUGAAAUAAACUAUAAAAAAAAAAAUACAAAAUAAGCAUUGAUCCCCCGUGCAUCCGGCAAAGGCGGAGGUGUUGCUAACAUUUACGAUAGCAAAUUUCAAUUUAUAAAAAAAACCCAGAUGUUUGUCGUUUGAGCUUCUAGUCAUGAAAUCUAUGCAGCCUACUGAAAUCACUUUGAAGCUACCGUUUACAGGCCUCCUGGGCCAUAUACAGCGUUGCUCACCGAGUUCCCUGAAUUCCUAUCGGACCUUGUAGUCACGGCAGAUAAUAUUCACAUUUUUGGUGACUUUAAAUAUUCACAUGGAAAAGUCCACAGACCCACACCAAAAGGCUUUCGGAGCCAUCAUCGACUCAGUGGUUUGUCCAACAUGUCUCCGGACCUACUCACUGCCACAGUCAUACUCUGGACCU